AAUAUCCUCUCUUCUGUUCCUCGCUGGAUUCUCCGGCAUCUACAGCAGAGCUGGUACAUAGUGGUCAUCGCAUGUUUGUUGAAUGAAUGGAAUGCCACUUGCAGCCAAAAAUUUAGGAAGAGCGCCACGAACUAGAGCGAAGGGAUAGAACUCGGCUGUCAUCUCUCCCCCAGAGUACCAGCAUCUCGGCCAGCGCCCCGUAGGUCUGUUUUCAGUGUGCUUAGACACGUUGCAAUUUAUUGAAGAG
rnacentral:lncRNA from 1 species